CCGCAUCACGUAGAAAUACCGCUUCCCGUACGAUUGUAGAUGUUAAGCAACGUCGAGCGUGGUCAGUACCUAGAUGGGUGACCGCUUGGGAAUUUGGGGUGCUGUAA